rnacentral:rRNA from 1 species
CCUACGGGUGGCAGCAGUGGGGAAUAUUGGACAAUGGGGGCAACCCUGAUCCAGCCAUGCCGCGUGUGUGAAGAAGGCCCUCGGGUUGUAAAGCACUUUCAGUGAGGAAGAACGCCUGGUGGUUAAUACCCAUCAGGAAAGACAUCACUCACAGAAGAAGCUCCGGCUAACUCCGUGCCAGCAGCCGCGGUAAUACGGAGGGUGCGAGCGUUAAUCGGAAUUACUGGGCGUAAAGCGCGCGUAGGUGGCUUGAUAAGCCGGUUGUGAAAGCCCCGGGCUCAACCUGGGAACGGCAUCCGGAACUGUCAAGCUAGAGUGCAGGAGAGGAAGGUAGAAUUCCCGGUGUAGCGGUGAAAUGCGUAGAGAUCGGGAGGAAUACCAGUGGCGAAGGCGGCCUUCUGGACUGACACUGACACUGAGGUGCGAAAGCGUGGGUAGCAAACAGGAUUAGAUACCCCAGUAGUC